rnacentral:rRNA from 1 species
GACGGAGGAUGCAAGUGUUAUCCGGAAUCACUGGGCGUAAAGCGUCUGUAGGUGGUUUAAAAAGUCCACUGUUAAAAAUUGAAGCUUAACUUCAAAGAUGCCGUGGAAACUUUUAAACUUGAGUAUGAUAGGGGUAGGAGGGUAAUUUCCAGUGGAGCGGUGAAAUGCGUAGAUAUUGGAAAGACCACCAAUGGCGAAGGCACUCUACUGGGCCAUUACUGACACUGAGAGACGAAAGCUAGGGGAGCGAAUGGG